UAAUUGAAGAGUUUGAUCAUGGCUCAGAUUGAACGCUGGCGGCAGGCCUAACACAUGCAAGUCGAGCGGUAACAGGAGAAGCUUGCUUCUCGCUGACGAGCGGCGGACGGGUGAGUAAUGUAUGGGGAUCUGCCCGAUAGAGGGGGAUAACUACUGGAAACGGUAGCUAAUACCGCAUAAUCUCUUAGGAGCAAAGCAGGGGAACUUCGGUCCUUGCGCUAUCGGAUGAACCCAUAUGGGAUUAGCUAGUUGGUGAGGUAAUGGCUCACCAAGGCGACGAUCUCUAGCUGGUCUGAGAGGAUGAUCAGCCACACUGGGACUGAGACACGGC
rnacentral:rRNA from 1 species